rnacentral:lncRNA from 1 species
UGCAUCAUGGACGGCCAUUGGAAGAGGAACUGUCCUACAUACAUGGGAAGCAUAAAGAACAUGAAGGGUGACAGACCUUCAGAAGGUUUGUCAGAUAUGCUCAGGAUACUUAGGGACUGUUACCUAUUGCUAGCAGAAAUUUGAUUUCUGUAUUUUAUUUAGCACAGAAAGAUUUUUAUUUGAAAAUUAAAUUGAUUCAACAUGGUUUUAUGAUUGACAGUCUCUAUCACAUACAUAUGGAUGUAUCUGUAAAUAUAUCUGAGCAAACAGUGAAUACCAUAGGAUCUAAUAGAUCCAAAAAUGAGAUAAAUCUAAAGUAUUUAUGGCACCUCAGGCUUGGCCAAAUAGGAGAAGACAAAAUAAACAAAUUGGAGAAACAUGAGCUUUGGGCUCAUUGACUUUCGAGUCAUAUUUGAUUUGUGAAUUCUGCCUUCAAGGAAAGAUGGCCAAGUUAUCCUUUGUAGGACACAGGGAGGUCCACUGAAAUACUUAUCC